UACGAAGGGGGCUAGCGUUGCUCGGAAUCACUGGGCGUAAAGGGUGCGUAGGCGGGUCUUUAAGUCAGGGGUGAAAUCCUGGAGCUCAACUCCAGAACUGCCUUUGAUACUGAGGAUCUUGAGUUCGGGAGAGGUGAGUGGAACUGCGAGCGUAGAGGUGAAAUUCGUAGAUAUUCGCAAGAACACCAGUGGCGAAGGCGACUUACUGGACACAUAUUGACGCUGAGGUGCGAAAGCGUGGGGAGCAAACAGG
rnacentral:rRNA from 1 species